rnacentral:rRNA from 1 species
AGUGAACGCUGGCGGUAGGCCUAACACAUGCAAGUCGAACGGCAGCACAGUAAGAGCUUGCUCUUACGGGUGGCGAGUGGCGGACGGGUGAGGAAUACAUCGGAAUCUACUUUUUCGUGGGGGAUAACGUAGGGAAACUUACGCUAAUACCGCAUACGACCUACGGGUGAAAGCAGGGGAUCUUCGGACCUUGCGCGAUUGAAUGAGCCGAUGUCGGAUUAGCUAGUUGGCGGGGUAAAGGCCCACCAAGGCGACGAUCCGUAGCUGGUCUGAGAGGAUGAUCAGCCACACUGGAACUGAGACACGGUCCAGACUCCUACGGGAGGCAGCAGUGGGGAAUAUUGGACAAUGGGCGCAAGCCUGAUCCAGCCAUACCGCGUGGGCGAAGAGGGCCUUCGGGUUGUAAAGCCCUUUUGUUGGGAAAGAAAAGCAGCAGGUUAAUACCCCGCUGUUCUGACGGUACCCAAAGAAUAAGCACCGGCUAACUUCGUG